UAGUACGAGAGGACCGGGAUGGACAUACCUCUGGUGUACCAGUUGUCGUGCCAACGGCAUAGCUGGGUAGCUAUGUAUGGACGGGAUAAGUGCUGAAAGCAUCUAAGCAUGAAGCCCCCCUCAAGAUGAGAUUUCCCAACUUCGGUUAUAAGAUCCCUCGAAGAUGACGAGGUUAAUAGGUUCGAGGUGGAAGCGUGGUGACACGUGGAGCUGACGAAUACUAAUCGAUCGAAGACUUAAUCAA
rnacentral:rRNA from 2 species